AGCACAAAAAACUAGAGGCUCUAAAGAGCCUGUGUCGCUCACCUUGGUCUAUGUGCAUAUUAAACAAAGGACACAAAUGGAUUCAUGACAAAAUUCUAUUUUGGUGAUGGUGAUGUGUUUGAAGUUCUUACUUUACUGAACGAUUUUGCUUCUUACAAUUAUAUCUAUAAUGAACUUUGCCCAUUAGUAACAGAGAACUAUAUUUGGUAAAAAUUUACAUAAAUUUACCAAAUUAAUGAAAAUUGUUAAAAAUUGACUAUAAAGGACAAUAACUCCUUAAGGGGUCAAUUGACCAUUUAGGUCAUGUUGACUUAUUUGUAGAUCUUACUUUGCUGAACAUUAUUGCUGUUUACAGUUUAUCGCUAUCUAUAAUAGUAUUCAAGAUAACCAAAAACG
rnacentral:lncRNA from 1 species